UGACAACAGAAUAAACAAUAACAAAAACACACAUGGUGAUUUCUUGACUGAAGAUCAGCAGUACAUCAGAAGUAAUAAGAAGCAAUUUUUUUGUAUCGCCUCCACGUCUUGGUGGGAACACUUGAUCAAUCACCUGAUAACGUAACUGGGAAAUAUUAUGUCCUUUGAUCUUGAAAUGAUUUUGGCAGUGGAAAGCAAAUGUUGAGGCAACAGCUAUCAAACAGAAGGCAGCAGAGUCUGUGAACAGAAAACUAAGAUCAACAGCCAAGCUCAUUAAUAACACAAGAGGCCCUCAUGCUGUUCGAGGAAAAUUCUCUAAAGUAAACUAAAUAAGGAUCCUAUGUAAAUGGAGCAGAGAUGGGGAAACUCUUGUGUUGAACUUUAUUCUCAUCUGCUUAUGUCAUAUUUGUAUUUAUAUUUUUCCUUCAUUUAUAACAUAUUUUUAAUUUACAUAAUAAAGAGUUUGUCAUAGGUUUGUUAAUGCUAACAACCACAGGAA